GACGGUGUUCCUCCUUCCCUCCCUUCCUCCCGCCCACCCUCCCGGCAGAGCGAGCCUGGUAGCGGCCGGAGUUCGGUCACGGCUGCUGGGAAACGCAGCGCUCCUCUCCCCCUCUGGGCGCCGCAGGGGCUGAGGCUCGUUUCUUUUGUACCUACUGCCCCUUGACCUGUCAUGGGGUACCCUUGAGAAGAGCCUGGCUCAGUUGUCUCCAGUCAUUCACAUCAGUCACUUAGCUCAUGAGAACACAACCUCUUCUCAGGACGUAUCAUGACAUGGUGACAAAGGUCAGUUCUUAGGGAACACAAGGAUCUACGUUCCAGCCAAGACAGAGGAAAAAAAAAAAAAAAAAAAAGUGUAUCCACCUGUUAUAGAGAAGAAUAUCUGGCUUCCAAAUCAGUCCAUCAGGAAAACGGACGUUCUUCACUCCAGGGUAUUCAGACACAUUCCACUGUACUGCAUAACCUGUGAGGAAAAACAGGAGCAUAACUGUUAGACUGAUGAAGCUGAGACACAAAACAAGGUAGAUGAAGAUGACAGAUCUUACCUCAAAUCCUCAUUUGUUGCUCUACAAGCAUGCUGAAGACUCUUUCCUGCUUGUCACUGGCCCUGAAAAAGCUUCACAGUCGUCAUUAAAUGUGUGAGUGUUUUGGCCUCUGCUUGUCUUUUUGUAUUGGAUAACUGUCUUUCUAUUUAUGGAGUUUCUCCUUUUUCAUUAUGCUUUGUUGUGAAUCAUGCUGCAGGUGGAGGAGGGCUUCUUUCUCUGGUCUGGUGUUUGCUCUGUGGCGUUCCUGUCUGUUUGUGCACAGACACUGAGCAGUCCCAGCCUGCCCUCAGCAGACCACAGAGGGGCUCAUACUUAACCAAAUCUCUCUAUUUUUUGUCUUUGUUAAUGAAUUUGUCUUGUAUCUUAUGGACAGCAGUUGUCAUUUUGCCUUAUCAAAAUUACUUGAAUUAUUUCCCUCAGUGCUCCCUGCCUGCUCAAGUCACUUCCAGAGCUGCCAAUUCAUGCAGACGUGCAGCCUCGCUGCCUGCCUUGACUCGACAAGAGCAGUGGUGACAUCAGGUGGCAGCAGAGCCUCAGGGGCAGAGUAAUGCCAAAUUCCUUCCUCACUUUUUUCUCAUUAUGUUUUGAAUUCAGUGUGGUGCUGGAAUCACCACAACCAGAGCAACUUAAUGAACAUAAAUAAUUGAUUUGCUGAUAGAUAGUUUACGGAAACAAAGGGCACAAAGCUAUAAACUGUGGGCCCAAAUGAAUCUGGGAUCUAGUGCUCCAGCACUGUGCUCUGUCUCAGUGUCAGUAUUAUCUGGAUCUUCCUAGUCUCCCCUUGCUCUGGAGAAGGGAGGUACAUCAAUACAAAUUAAUGGUGAUAAUAUUAUCUGUGGUUCUUUUGUCUUGUUAGUCCAUGGUAACUGGAAAUCCAAAACGUUACAUAGUGGUUGAUUUUUUUGCCAGGAGACCAUACCAGAAACCAGUGAUCCCUUUUAUUUUGCAACAUAAAACAUUCCAUGUGCAAAGAGGUAAGCAAGCAGCUUACUGUAUGCUGCAAGCUGCCACAUUCAUUUUAGUGAGAUUAAUCUCAGAAAGGAAAGCAUGUGUGGAAUUGGGUCACAGUGCUUCAUGUAUUCAAGUGUAUAAAAUACAGUGAUUGA